ACUUAACCGAGGAGUCCCAUAAUAGGACGAAACGGCCGUCCAGU
rnacentral:hammerhead_ribozyme from 1 species